GACGAACGCUGGCGGCGUGCCUAAUACAUGCAAGUCGAACGCAGUGGGGACGGGUGAGUAACACGUGGGUAACCUCCCAUCAGAGGGGAUAACACUUGGAAACAGGUGCUAAACCGAUACUGAUGGAUGAACCCGCGGUGCAUUAGCUAGUGGUUGAGGUAACGGCUCACCAAGGCCACGAUGCAUAGCAGACCUGAGAGGGGGAUCGGCCACACUGGGACUGGACCACGGCCCAGACUCCUACGUGAGGCAGCAGUAGUGAAUAGUCGGCAAGGGACGAAAGUCGGACCGCGCAACGCCGAGUGAGUGAAGAAGAUUUUCGGAUCGUAAAACUCUGUUGUUAGAGAAGCGGUAUCUAACCAGAAAGCCACGGCUAACUACGUGCCAGCAGCCGCGGUAAUUC
rnacentral:rRNA from 1 species